AUUGAACGCUGGCGGCAUGCCUUACACAUGCAAGUCGAACGGCAGCACGGGUGCUUGCACCUGGUGGCGAGUGGCGAACGGGUGAGUAACACAUCGGAACAUGUCCUGUAGUGGGGGAUAGCCCGGCGAAAGCCGGAUUAAUACCGCAUACGCUCUACGGAUGAAAGCGGGGGACCUUCGGGCCUCGCGCUAUAGGGUUGGCCGAUGGCUGAUUAGCUAGUUGGUGGGGUAAAGGCCUACCAAGGCGACGAUCAGUAGCUGGUCUGAGAGGACGACCAGCCACACUGGGACUGAGACACGGCCCAGACUCCUACGGGAGGCAGCAGUGGGGAAUUUUGGACAAUGGGCGAAAGCCUGAUCCAGCAAUGCCGCGUGUGUGAAGAAGGCCUUCGGGUUGUAAAGCACUUUUGUCCGGAAAGAAAUCCUUGGCGCUAAUACAGUCGGGGGAUGACGGUACCGGAAGAAUAAGCACCGGCUAACUACGUG
rnacentral:rRNA from 1 species